AGUUAAAGGGACAAAUAUUAUACAUCAAUUUAAUUUUGAGACAUUUAAAGGGACAAAUAUUCUACAUAGCACAAGAGUUUUUACUAUAUAAAGUAGCAAUUAAUCCAUUUAACAAAUAUUCUACAUGCAACUAUGAAAAAAAUGACUAAAAUUCUCAAGUUUGUUUAUACUAUAACCUUCUUUGUUUCCCUAUUUCUCGUUGUAGUAAACGUUGGUGGUGGAAAGUGUAUUUCAGACGUGCAUUGUAUGUAUCUUUCAUGUCGGUCUCGUCAAAUUAAGCAUUGUCUUCAAAGUGAAUGCUACUGUAUUAAUCGUGUUGAUGAAAAAAUUGUUUUCUAUUAUGCCUAAUUUUAAUUUUCUCUGCUCAUCAUAAUGUUAAUCUUAUGAUUUUUCUCACACAACCAUAUAUUUCUAUGACCUUUGAAUUUCUUUGAUA